UACGUAGGGUGCAAGCGUUGUCCGGAAUUAUUGGGCGUAAAGAGCUCGUAGGCGGUCUGUCGCGUCGGCUGUGAAAACUCGGGGCUCAACCCCGAGCCUGCAGUCGAUACGGGCAGACUAGAGUGCUGUAGGGGAGACUGGAAUUCCUGGUGGUAGCGGUGAAAUGCGCAGAUAUCAGGAGGAACACCGGUGGCGAAGGCGGGUCUCUGGGCAGUAACUGACGCUGGAGGAGCGAAAGCGUGGGGAGCGAACAGG
rnacentral:rRNA from 1 species